rnacentral:tRNA from 1 species
GAGGGUAUAGCUCAGUGGUAGAGUGCCUGCUUAGCAUGCAUGAGGUCCUGGGUUCAAUCCCCAGUACUUCCA